rnacentral:rRNA from 1 species
UUCAACCUCACCUUUCCUUGUUUCUCCCGCCUAUAUACCACCGUCGUCAGCUUACCCUGUGAAGGUCUAAUAGUAAGCAAAAUUGGCACAACCCAAAACGUCAGGUCGAGGUGUAGCGUAUGGAAAGGGAAGAAAUGGGCUACAUUCCCUUGUACAGGGAAUACGAACGAUAAACUGAAAUGUUUUUCCAAAGGAGGAUUUAGCAGUAAGCAGAAAAUAGAGUGUUCUGCUGAAAAUGGCCCUGAAGCGCGCACACACCGCCCGUCACUCUCCCCAAGCCCAARAACUUUAGUAAUUAAAACCAUACAAUCGCAAAGGGGAGGCAAGUCGUAACAUGGUAAGUGUACCGGAAGGUGCACUUGGUUAAA